UCCAGUUUUUUCCGAAGAUGCAGGCAACAGGGAGGGCGAGUUCCUUACCGAGUCCACUGCUGACACCAGGUUUUAAAGUCACACUAGUGCCGUGGCUUUAUGGAUGACACUGUCGUUCAGUCCAUCGAUUUGGUCCAGACCACAGUUCAAACGAAACAGGAGACACAUCAUAACGGUCAGACGGAACAACUGAACAGAGACUCUAUAAUGUCCAUCGUUGUGAUACUGGGAUUGCUGGUCUGUGUGAAGGCACAAGGGUCCAGUGCUGUGACUCCUGUGUUUGUGCAGAAGGGAGACGAUGUGAUGCUGAAUCUCACAGAAGCUGAUGAUCUGGAGAACAGUAUUGUUUUUUGGAACUUCAAUAAUAAAAGUAUUAAUAAAGACUUAAUUUUAGUCAGAUGGCUUCCUCGUACUGAACCAGAAGUCUCUCCAGGUUACAGAGGAAGGAUUGAGUUUACUGUGAAAAAGUACUGUGUGAAACUGAAGAAUCUACAAGAGACAGACAGUGGAGUUUAUACUGGACGAGUGAUGGGGUCUGUUGAACAAACAACUCAAUACAACUCUCAGAGUCUACCUGGUGAACGACUCAAUCACCUGUAACCAUAGCAACCAGGUCAGCUGGACCAAAGAUGUGACAAAAAUUCAAGAUUUCUGCCUCCGACAUCAUGGUUCAGAGUGUGUCUCUGCUGGUAUCUCGGUGUGCCUGCUGAAGACAGUCUUGUUCUCCACUGGUCUGAUCAUCAUGGUGUCUGCUGUCAUCAGCGUUCAUGUCUACGUGAAGCUCAAGAAGCAAAAAUAAACAAAGAGUCCUCCACCAACGUACAUCUCACACACUUUAGUUAAAGGUACCCUGAGUUCUUUUGUCUUUAUUAGGAAUGAGGAAAUAUUUGCAACACUUUUGUAAAGCCUCAAACAUUCUCUCAGUGCAUUUUGGCAGUUAAUGCUUCAUUUAAAAAUACGCACAGUUGCUUUUCAAACGAAACUUUGUACAUAAGAUAAAGCACAAACAUGACCAUGUUAGAAAAUAACUACUGGGGGAUGGUGAAUUGAAAAAACAACAUAAGUUCUAUAUGUGUAAAACCAAGACCAACAACAUAAAAGGCAAGUACUUUACUGUACGUGGUCCUGCUUAUAAUAUUCUAGAAAGACUGCAUGUGUUCACUUAUAAUUCACAACGUUUGUUUCAGCAUGUUUCAAUCUUUGGGUCAACUCAGUGAUCUGUGGUACAUGGACCAUUACUGGACACUUAUUAAAGCCUUAAAGGUGUUAUUUGUGAGAAAAGUUGAUUUUUUGAGGCUCAUUCCCAGCUUGUCAUGUAAUGAUACCCUGGGACUGCUGGAUGUGCUGGACGGGUCAACCGCCAUCCCAAAGCUUCAGUUUUGAACGAGUGAGAAUGAGACUCAAAAAUCAACUUUUCUUACAUAUAGCAACUUUAAACUCGUCUCAUAUAUUUGAUGAUCUCGUGAAUAAGUAGAAGCUGAAAUAUUAUGUGUGACAGACUUUUGUUCCCCCUCUUGUACUCUGCUAACUGUAUUUCAUUGCCUUUGUUCUUGUAUUCAGUGCAAUGACAAUAAAUCUAAUGAAUCAAAUCUAAAUAAUCUCAUUUAAUAUUGCAAGUUUAUUUUCAUUUUGAAAGAAUCAACCCGAGUUUCUGUUGUAGG